rnacentral:lncRNA from 1 species
GCGUUUGCGCUUGUUAUUAUUUUUUGCUGGGAGGCUCCUGGCAUUCGGCACUCAGGUCUUCAGCGCAGUGUGAGUGUGUCAGGCACUUGCCAGAGACCUGCCCCAUCCCACCGCAGCCUCACAGCAGCCUUCGGAAAGGUCAGGCUCGCUCCAGCCCCGGGAAGUGAUGGACACUUCUCUGCUAAGUUCGAAGUCCUGCCCUCCCAGCCCCUGUGUGUGGCCCACCGAGGGGCCCCUGAAUGUGGAAGUAGAGACGGCCCGACGCUGCUGCAGCUCACAGUGUGCGUUCGCCACUGGGCCAAGGCCGGAUGCCCUGUGCCACCCCGAAUAACCCCUCUGCCCUAUGCCGCCGCCACCCGCCACCUGCUCCUCCGAGACCUCGGAAUGCCAGGCCUGGAGGCACCUUUGCCAGGGUGCCCAGGGCCAUCCUGGCGAGACCUCUGUGAGGUGCGGGCUGACUGUGCCGUGUGGUUGUUGGAGGAGGCUGUCACAGGUCCCUGCAGGAACCGCGCGUCGCCUUGUUUGAUGGCCCUUCAUGCCCGCUCCCUGCUCUGCGUCCAUUUCUCCCCUGGCUCAGUCUCUGGCCGUCUGUCCUUCCCGAAAGCAUCGGAAAGCUGCUUCCCGCCCUCUCUCCUUAGUGUCAGGACACAAGGGGUCACACCACACAGAAGUCAGCUCUGGGGACUUCCUGGCGCUGACCCACCAUGUCCCAGUCAAGGGGACGCAUCCUGCCAGCCGCCUUCGAGGGAUCGUUCUCCUGACUCCUGACGGUUAAACAUCCGUGCUGCGUGUGUCUGUGCUGGGAAUAAAAGGGAUCACACAGUGGAUACCCCGUGUCUGGCUUUUCUAAUCUCUAAUCUUUUUGCGAUACUGGGGAUUAAACCAGGGCCUUCACACUGAGCUACACCCCGGGCCUUAUUUUUUGAUUGAUUGAUUGAUGAUUGAUUGAU